rnacentral:rRNA from 1 species
UACAGAGGUCCCGAGCGUUGUUCGGAUUCACUGGGCGUAAAGGGUGCGUAGGUGGCCUAAAAAGUUUGAUGUGAAAGCUCAGGGCUUAACCCUGAAAUGGCAUUGAAUACUGUUGGGCUGGAGGUUUGGAGGGGGGACUGGAAUUCUUGGUGUAGCAGUGAAAUGCGUAGAUAUCAAGAGGAACACCAGUGGCGAAGGCGAGUCCCUGGACAACACCUGACACUGAGGCACGAAAGCGUGGGGAGCAAACAGG